rnacentral:tRNA from 1 species
GGGGCCAUAGCUCAGUUGGAAGAGCGUUCGGUUUGCAUCCGAAAGGUCGCGGGUUCGAGUCCCGCUGGCUCCA